CAACCUUAAAUGUGGCAAAACAGAAGCCCGGUUCUACUGUUGUUGUCUUUGGAUUGGGAGCAGUUGGUCUUGUUGCUGCUGAAGGGGCAAGGCUUGCUGGUGCAUCAAGAAUCAUUAGAGUUGAUAUACUUUCUAGCAGACAGGAACAGGCCAAAAGUUUUGGAAUCACUGACAGUAUAUGAA